rnacentral:rRNA from 1 species
UACGGGGGGGGCAAGCGUUGUUCGGAAUUACUGGGCGUAAAGGGCCAGUAGGCGGCCAACUAAGUCCGACGUGAAAUCCCAAGGCUUAACCUGGGAACUGCAUCCGAUACUGGAUGGCUUGAAUCCGGGAGAGGGAUGCAGAAUUCCAGGUGUAGCGGUGAAAUGCGUAGAUAUCUGGAGGAAUACCGGUGGCGAAGGCGGCAUCCUGGACCGGCAUUGACGCUGAGGAGCGAAAGCUAGGGGAGCAAACGGG